GACGAACGCUGGCGGCGUGCUUAACACAUGCAAGUCGAACGGAAAGGCCCUGCUUUUGUGGGGUGCUCGAGUGGCGAACGGGUGAGUAACACGUGAGUAACCUGCCCUUGACUUUGGGAUAACUUCAGGAAACUGGGGCUAAUACCGGAUAGGAGCUCCUGCUGCAUGGUGGGGGUUGGAAAGUUUCGGCGGUUGGGGAUGGACUCGCGGCUUAUCAGCUUGUUGGUGGGGUAGUGGCUUACCAAGGCUUUGACGGGUAGCCGGCCUGAGAGGGUGACCGGCCACAUUGGGACUGAGAUACGGCCCAGACUCCUACGGGAGGCAGCAGUGGUGAAUAUUGCACUAUGGGCGGAAGCCUGAUGCAGCAACGCCGCGUGCGGGAUGACGGCCUUCGGGUUGUAAACCGCUUUCGCCUGUGACGAAGCGUGAGUGACGGUAAUGGGUAAAGAAGCACCGGCUAACUACGUG
rnacentral:rRNA from 1 species